rnacentral:lncRNA from 10 species
GUAAGUAUUUAUUUUUUUCCUUCAAGGGGGUUUUUGCUUUGCUAAGCCUCGGGCAUUUGGUUCGUGCAAGAAAUCACAGAAACUGCUCCAGCGGACUCCGAAAGGAGCGGAAAAUUCUUUUGUUUGGGGGCCAUGAGGGGUGGGGGAGGGGUGGGGAUUCUGGUGUAAGCUUUUGGCUUGCAUUCGCUUUCUCCCUCCGAAAGUGGGCGACAUCAAGCAAGUCCCAGUUACAGAAAGAACCCACUGCAGGGCGUCCAGUCACUUGCCCAGUGAAAAGACUGUAAUCAGACAACUUUAAUAAAGGGAGAGCAGGAGAGUGGUGACGAAUUUCCACAUUCCGAACAAGCUUGUCGAAAGAGGAGUGCAGGGAAGGAGCAAGAAUGAGGCACUGGAAGACGGCUGUAGGCGCAUGAUGUCACAAGUUAUUGGAAGAAAUCCCUCCAACCUAGGUUGGGACAGAUGAAGGCGGCGCUUAUUGGUGUUCACCAAAACACCAGCAUGGUGUACCAGCUUUGGCUAGAUGAUGCUCAGACGGGCCUGUCUAAUUGCAGGAAAACAAACUCAGGGCUCCCACUGAUUCUACAUUACGAACACCAGAGACUGGGUAAUUAAUAAAAAGAAGAAAUUGAUCUGGCCUACAGUUCUGGAGCCUUGGAAGUCCGAGAUCAAGGAGCUGCAUCUGGGUUCUAGGAUGCCUCAUAAAGGCCCGUAGUGUACUUUCUGUCUACUUCACUUAGCUCCGCAUUUGCAAUUUCUGUUAACAUGCAUACAGUUGAAUGGAUGGCCAGGAUCAAAGCUAUCUGCUGUGAGACACAAUGAGAAAUGCUUUUGUGUAAAGAUAAAUACCUGGAGUGGGAUUGCUAGAUCACAUGGAAAACACAGAUCCUGGUGCCGAACAUGAGGACAGGGCAGGCCGAAGGAGAAAGUGGAAGGAGGGGAGCUUCUCUCUCAGCCUCAUCCUUCUGGGCCUGGAUGCUGGAGAGUCAUGAGGUGCUUCAGAGUACUCUGGGUGAGGAGGGAAAGAUGGUGCCCACCACAUGGAGGCCAGCCUAGGUCUUGUAUGAAACCUGUGAGGAGAUUCUCUCUCCCUUGCUGUCUUUGAAAAAGCAAGUUGCCAUGUGAAGAGGGCCAUAUAGCAUAGGAGCUGAAGGCAGCCUCCAACUGACGGCAAGAAAAUGAGGUCCUCAGUCUGACAACCUGCAAGAAACUGAAUGUUCUAAAAGCCACAUGAGCUUGGGAGCAGAUCUGACCCCAGCCAAAUCUCUGAAGUCCGCAGGCAGGAAAUGAAGAUCAGAAAAAGGCUAUUGUCUCAUGAAUAUGAGCCAGACUCCACAGAAGCUGGAGUCCUUCAUUAUGGAGCUAAACACAUACACCUGGCUUAGGAGUCAGAAAAACUGAAAGAGAAUUCAGGGAAGUAGAGAAAUUGCAAGCCCAGAUGCUGCUUCAUACCAAAGAAGCAAGUCAGCAGGUCAGCAACAAUGUGUAUCAGUUCCAAAAUGACUUACACAGGUACCAAGACAAGACAUUAUAUACACUUAUAUAGUCAAAUACUUUAAAACUGUUAACAAACUUGCUACAAUUGUCUCAUUUGUCUUUUAACCUUAAUAUCACAGAUCAAGUUUGUAAUCUCAAAAGUUCACCCUGGCUGCUGUGUGGAGUAUUCUCUUAUCUGCUCAUAUUACACUGUGCUUAUUCAUUCAUCAGUUAAUGGAAAUUUGGGUUGUUUCCUGAUUUUGACUGUAAUGAAUAAUGUUGCUGUAAACAUUCAUGUACAGUUUUGUGUGGACAUGCUUUUCUUUCUCUUGGGUAGGUUCCUAUGAGUGGAAUCACUAGAUUGUAUGGUAAAUGUAUGUUUAACUUUUAAAGAAACUGUCAAACUGUUUUCUAACAUGAACGGGCCAUUUUACGUUCUUAUCAACAAUAUAUGAUGGUUUCAAUUUUCCCACAUCCUCACCAACAUUUGGUAUUGUCUCUCUUUUACAUCAUAACUAUUUUAGUGGGGAUGUAGUGAUAUCUUAUCGUGGUUUUAAUUUGUGUCUCCCUAAUGACUAAUGAUAUUGUGCAUCUUUGCAUAUGCUUGUUAGCCAUUUAUGUACAUUCUUUAGUGAAAUGGCUAUUCAAAUCUUCUGCCCAUUUAAAAAUCGAGUUGUUUUUCUUAUUAUUCAGUUGUAAGAGUUUUUUCUUUAUUCUGUGCAAAAGUCCUUUAUCAAGUCUAGGAUUUUUGAAUAUUUUCUCAACCUAGAGCUUGUUUUUCAACAUUUUUUUCUUAAUGAUCUUUUGAAGUGCAAAAGUUUGAUUUUGAUGAAGUCUAAUGUAUCACUUCUUCCUUUAACUGUCAUGAUUUUUGUGUCGUAUCUAAGAACUCUUUACCCAACUCAAAGUUACCAAGGUAUUUUCUUCCAGAAGUUUUGCAGUUUUAACUCUUCUAUAUAGGCCUGUGAUCCAUUUUUAAUUCAUUUUUUGCAUAUGAUGUGAGAGAAGGGCCUAAGUUCAUAUUCGUACAUGUGGAUGUACAAUGGUUCCAGGAUCACUUGCUGAGAAAAGACUAUCCUUUCCCCAUUGAUUUUUUUGGCACCUGUGUCAAAAAUCAAUUGACCAUAAAUGCAAGCGUUUAUAUCUGAACUCUCAGUUCUUCUCCAUUCAUCUCUAAGGAUAUGUCUAUGCUUACAUCAAUAUCACAGUGUAUUCAUGUGGCUUUGUAGUAAAUUUUGAAAUUGGGUGAUAGAAGUCUUUCAAUUUUGUUCUUAGUUUUCAGAAUAGUUUUGGCUGUACUUUGCAUUUUGAUACAAAUUUUAGGAUGUAUGUGUGAAGUUUUACAAAAAUGCUUGCUGGAGUUUUGAUAGGAAUUGUGUUGAACCUAUAGAUCUAUUUGAGGGGGGAAUUGCCAUCUUGACAAGCUUGAGUCUUCCAAUCCAUGGACAGGGAAUGUCUCCAUUUAUUUAAAUCUUCAUUAAUUUUUCUUAGUAACGUUUCACAAUUUUUAGCGUACAAGUCUUAAACUUUUAUUACAUUUAUUUCUGUUUAUUCUUUUUGAGGCUUUGUGAAUAGAAUUUUUUUAAUUUUAUUUUUUGGGCUUGACAUUGCUGAUAUAUACAAAUACAAUAGAUUUUUAAAAUACUGAUCUUAGAUCCUGCAGCUUUGCUAAAUUCUUCGAUUAGUUCUAGAUAUUUUGUGUAUAGAUUCCUUGGUGUUUUCUAUACGCAAGAUUAUGCCAUCUGCAAAUAGAAGCAGUUUUAAUUCUUCCUUUACUCUCAGUCUGCUUUUAAUGAGCUAUUAUGUCUUCUGUUCUGUAUUGGUCAAACCCUCACCUGGAUCACAGUAUUUAUUACUGACCAUCACAGUUUCCUUGAGGAAAUGAAAAAAAUUAAAAAGAUAAAGUAACUAUUACCAUAAUCCCUACAUUCGGACACAAUAUUUAUGAGCAUGUGGGGUAAAUUCUUCCAGACACUCUUGCUAGAGGACGUGUAGCAGAGCUUAUGAUGCACUGAGCCACAUCCUCCAGCCACCAGAUUCCAGUGUAGCUGUGGUGAACUUUGCCUUGCACUUUACCAGUGUCCAUAUAAGCUCAUAUCACAGUGUCUUUCUGUUUUGCUUUCUGGAGGUCAGGGAAGCCUGCUGAGCUAUAUGUAGACCCAACCCAUAUUUUCAAGGUAAUACUCCUUAGUUGAUAGAAGCCCUCAGUCGAUGGGAACAGGAUUUCAUGGAUUAAUGCCCCAGCUCCCCCAUCCUGCAGGACAUAGAAUGUGUGACUAUCCAAGAUGCUUGCAACAUGGUUUCUCAGAGUUCCCAAUGGAAUUGAAUCCCAGCUGCAUACAACUGUAACCCACUCAUUUAUUAACUUUUCUCCCUUCCUCUUUCCCUUCACUUCUGUUUCCUAAGACUACUUCCCUCUAAAUGAUCUGCACCCAAGUCCUUGUCUCAAGGUCUUCUAGAGAAACCCAAACUAAGGCAGUUUGUCAAGGGACAAACUAGGGUACAUCUUUGAAACAGUCAUUAGGAGAGUGAGAGGUCCUGCAACGAUGUAAUAUAAAAGCAGUGAAAAUAGCUGAGAAAAUUAGAAAAAGAGAAAACUUACAGGAAUAAUCAUAGUCAUCUUUAAAUACCUGCAAAGUAAUCAGAUAUAAGAGGACCAAAGGAGACACUGGUUUUAACUGAGCACCUUCCAGGUUAUAUACUAGCUACUAUGAAGUGUAUUUAUUCCAUCCUUACAGCAACCCAGAGGCAAUGAGAACUACCCUUAUUUUUCAAAUAAGAAAACUGAGACACAGAUGAUUAAGGAAUUUGCCAAGGUCCAAAGCUAACAGGUAUUGGAACUAGGAUUCAAAUCCAAGCCUGUCUGCCCCCUAACCUGUGUCUUGCUGCUGUGUGUUUUGCUUUGAAGGGCAAAACAGAGACCAGCAGGUAGACAUUCUAAAUCCAUAGAAUUGUGUUUAUAUGAAUGCAGUGUGUGGCAGAGAUUGUCUAGAUGUUCAUCAAUGCUGUUUUCUCUGUUCUGUUUCUGGACAUACAGGAACACUUCAUGUCCUAGCCUCCUUUAUAAGUAGAUUGGGGCCAUGUAACAGGGUUCUGGCAAAUGGGAAUGUGCAGAUGUGAUAUGUGAUGCUCCUGAUUCAUUCAUUCUGUCUCUUUCUCUCUCUCCCUCUCAGCUAGCUGAAAGCAGAGAACCCAGCAGAGGAUUCUGGGAAGGUCCUGGGGGAUGGCAGAGCCAGCAGAGAGAGGGUAUGGAUCCACCAGGCAUAGGAUGGAACAGAGCACUAUUGACCACAGUGAACUGGGGCAUGGGCAAUCAAUAAACACAUAUUAGAUUAAGCUAUUGAGACUCAGGGAUUUUUAUACAACUGACAUUCCCUAAGAAGCCAUGAUCUUCCUGUCUCAGGAGGUGCAUAAGCAGUGGUUGAAUGUUCAACAGUCAAGAAUGUUAUAAAAAGAGGUUCUUGGGAGAGUGGACCUGAUGGCCAGCAAAAAUCAUAGCUCACAUUUAUUGAGUUAUUAUGGCUCAGGCAUGUGCACAUAUUCUUUUAUUUAAAUCUACAAUAUGCUUUAUCAUGCUCAUUUUAUACAUGAGGAACACAAGGCAUGGAGAGGUUAGAUAACAUGCCUAAGAUCAUGAAGCAAGCAAGGGGGAGAAAAGAUACCCUUCUCACUCCUUCCAGACAGCUCACUUCACCACCACUCCCCACUGUCUCUAAAGCAAAAGUUAUUUGAAGGCUUAGGGACUGGUUUGGUAUUAUCCAUGCAGGGCGGUUUGUUUUGUUUUUCUUUUAAAAUUUCAGCCUAUGCUUAAAAGAUUUCAUGUAAAAAUUCUGUUUUCUAGUUUCUCUUGAAAAUUAAGAAGAUCUGGUAAAACUGGGCUUGAAGACCAUUAUGGUAACAGGCUGCUGAAGCUGAGGAGAGGGCCCCUUCAGAUGGGCAUAAGCACUGCUCCCCCUCCCCAACCCCCCUUUUAGGUUACUAUCAGACUCUGGAAGCUUCUGAAUGUGUGAACCCUGAAAGAGUCCAUCUAAAGCUAAGUUCUCCCCAGGGGUAGAGCCCAAUGCUGGGCAUACAGUAGGG